rnacentral:rRNA from 1 species
GACGAACGCUGGCGGCGUGCUUAACACAUGCAAGUCGAACGGAAAGGCCUUUUCGGAGGUACUCGAGUGGCUAACGGGUGAGUAACACGUGGGUGAUCUGCCCUGCACUCUGGGAUAAGCCUGGGAAACUGGGUCUAAUACCGGAUAGGACCGCACUUUAGUGUGUGUGGUGGAAAGUUUUUUCGGUGUAGGAUGAGCCCGCGGCCUAUCAGCUUGUUGGUGGGUAAUGGCCUACCAAGGCGGCGACGGGUAGCCGGACUGAGAGGUUGGUCGGCCACAUUGGGACUGAGAUACGGCCCAGACUCCUACGGGAGGCAGAAGUGGGGAAUAUUGCACAAUGGGCGCAAGCCUGAUGCAGCGACGCCGCGUGGGGGAUGACGGCCUUCGGGUUGUAAACUCCCUUCGCCAGGGACGAAGCGUUUUGUGACGGUACCUGGAGAAGAAGCACCGGCUAACUACGUG